AUCGGCCCCUUCUCCUUGAAAGAUUUUCUACUUAGCUCCCGUUAUAAAUUUCUUUUAUUUAUUUAUUUAUUUUAAAUCAAAUAUUUAGUAAAAGACAAUAAAAUCUAAGCUUUUAGACAUAAUUACAGACCCAACCUAAGUUUGGAUUUCUAUCCACAUAUAUUGGAUCUCACUGUUGGAUCUUUUAAUCCCAAAUCCUCAAAAUCGACGUCUGAAUCCCUAACAUUAAUUUUUUUUUCUCUCUUGAAGAACGACGAACUUGAAGAACCCACCAAAUCCCUCCGUCGUUCUUCUCUCGGAGCUCUACUCUACUCUCGUCGCCGGCAAACCUCCUCUUCUUCCCUAUUCUCUUCUUUUUUCGAUCUUCAUUCUUCUUUCUUCUCGUUGGAAAUCCACCGUGAGAAAUCCAAAUUCAUGUUCGUCCGUGUCCUCUCUUUAUGAUGAGUGAGAGUAUGCAAAACAAAGAUUUAAGCAAUGUUCUAAGAAGAAAUGUUAGUUGGCACCGAAAAGGAUAGUUAAGCCUUCAAUUCAUGUCAACGAACCGUAUACGAAAGAAAAGAUGAAGAUGGAGAUCGAAGGAGAAGAAGAAGGUCUCUUGGUGGUUUUAGAUAUAUUGUAUGGUUUUUGAUACCACUGUGUUGGUGUUUUGGCUUUAGGUACAAAUGUUCGAAUUGUGUUUUGGUUUCUAAGGUUAUGUAUGAAUCUAAGUGUUUAGGUACAACUGAUACGAACAUGUACAACUAUGUAUCUGGGUUUAUAAAUCUAAGUGUUUAGGUACAAUUGUUCGGAUGUGUUUUAGUUUCUAAGGUUAUGUAUGAAGCUAAUUGUUUAGGUACAACUGGUACGAUCAUGUACAACUAUGUUUCUGGGUUUAUGUUUUUUGGUUAAAAAACCUAUCUAAUUAUGUAUGUAUCUUUGAAUCUGAAUCUUAAUAUUUUUAUGUAUGAA